rnacentral:rRNA from 1 species
CUCUACAGCCAUGACACCCUGAAAAUGCCCAAUCUUGUCUGAUCUCUGAAGAUAAGCAGGGUUGGGCCUGGUUAGUAUUUGGAAUGGGAGACCACCUAGGAAUACAAGUGCUGUAGGCG